rnacentral:rRNA from 1 species
GGGGAAUCUUGGACAAUGGGCGCAAGCCUGAUCCAGCCAUGCCGCGUGAGUGAAGAAGGCCCUAGGGUUGUAAAGCUCUUUCGGCGGGGACGAUAAUGACGGUACCCGCAGAAGAAGCCCCGGCUAACUCCGUGCCAGCAGCCGCGGUAAUACGGAGGGGGCUAGCGUUGUUCGGAAUUAUUGGGUUUAAAGGGUGCGUAGGCGGACUAAUAAGUCAGUGGUGAAAGCCUGCAGCUUAACUGCAGAAUUGCCAUUGAUACUGUUAGUCUUGAGUACAGUUGAGGUAGGCGGAAUGUGUCAUGUAGCGGUGAAAUGCUUAGAUAUGACACAGAACACCGAUUGCGAAGGCAGCUUGCUAAGCUGUAACUGACGCUGAGGCACGGAAGCGUGGGGAGCAAACA